rnacentral:rRNA from 1 species
GACGAACGCUGGCGGCGUGCUUAACACAUGCAAGUCGAACGGAAAGGCCCUGCUUUUGUGGGGUGCUCGAGUGGCGAACGGGUGAGUAACACGUGAGUAACCUGCCCUUGACUUUGGGAUAACUUCAGGAAACUGGGGCUAAUACCGGAUAGGAGCUCCUGCUGCAUGGUGGGGGUUGGAAAGUUUCGGCGGUUGGGGAUGGACUCGCGGCUUAUCAGCUUGUUGGUGGGGUAGUGGCUUACCAAGGCUUUGACGGGUAGCCGGCCUGCGAGGGUGAGCGGAUACACUAGGACGGAGAUGCGGCACAGACUCGUACGGGAGGCAGCGGUGGGGAAUAGUGCACAAGGGGCGGAGGCCUGAUGCAGCAACGCCGCGUGCGGGAUGACGUCCUUCGGGUUGUAAACCGCUUUCGCCUGUGACGAGGCGUGAGUGACGGUAAUGGGUAAAGAAGCACCGGCUAACUACGUG